AUUGAACGCUGGCGGCAUGCCUUACACAUGCAAGUCGAACGGUAACGGGCCUUCGGGUGCCGACGAGUGGCGAACGGGUGAGUAAUACAUCGGAACGUGCCCGAUCGUGGGGGAUAACGAGGCGAAAGCUUUGCUAAUACCGCAUACGAUCUACGGAUGAAAGCAGGGGACCGCAAGGCCUUGCGCGGACGGAGCGGCCGAUGGCAGAUUAGGUAGUUGGUGGGAUAAAAGCUUACCAAGCCGACGAUCUGUAGCUGGUCUGAGAGGAUGAUCAGCCACACUGGGACUGAGACACGGCCCAGACUCCUACGGGAGGCAGCAGUGGGGAAUUUUGGACAAUGGGCGCAAGCCUGAUCCAGCCAUGCCGCGUGCAGGAUGAAGGCCUUCGGGUUGUAAACUGCUUUUGUACGGAACGAAAAGCCUACUUUUAAUACAGGAGGGUCAUGACGGUACCGUGAGAAUAAGCACCGGCUAACUACGUG
rnacentral:rRNA from 1 species